rnacentral:rRNA from 1 species
GAUGAACGCUAGCGGCAGGCUUAACACAUGCAAGUCGAGGGGCAGCAGGGGUAGCAAUACUCGCUGGCGACCGGCAAACGGGUGCGGAACACGUACACAAUCUACCUUUAUCUGGGGUAUAGCCCGAAGAAAUUCGGAUUAAUCCCCCAUAAGAUAUUAGAGUGGCAUCACUUCGAUAUUAAAACUCCGGUGGAUAAAGAUGAGUGUGCGUCCCAUUAGCUAGUUGGUAGGGUAACGGCCUACCAAGGCAACGAUGGGUAGCUGGUGUGAGAGCACGACCAGCCACACGGGCACUGAGACACGGGCCCGACUCCUACGGGAGGCAGCAGUGAGGAAUAUUGGUCAAUGGACGCAAGUCUGAACCAGCCAUGCCGCGUGAAGGAUGAAGGCCUUCUGGGUUGUAAACUUCUUUUAUUGGGGAAGAAAAUUACGGUUUCUACUGUAACCGACGGUACCCAAGGAAUAAGCACCGGCUAACUCCGUGCCAGCCGCCGCGGUAAUAC